rnacentral:ncRNA from 1 species
CACCGAGAAAGGCAAACUACCACGAAAGGGUAGGGCGCAAAAUCUCCGGCCUAAAACCCUCGGGUAAAGGUAGCGGGAUUGCCGAA